GGGUGGGCAGCGGAGGGGGACUCGAGGCUCGCGCGCCGCGCGGGAAAGGCAGCUGGCCUCGAGGGAGCUGACAGAGAAAGCGCCCCACCGAGGGGAGGGAAGGAGAGACAGACUGACAGGGCAGAGAGAGCGAGACUGUACAAAGAGGAGCAAGCUGGUCCCUCCAGUGAAAAAAAGGGAAGGGGAGUAGGCAGAGAGACGGCCAACAAGCCCCCCCCCCAAACGCUGACAGAGCCCCAGAGAGAGGGCUGGAUACUCAGUCAUGCCCAUGCUGCCAGCCAAGCCGGCAGAGCUCCCACUUUCUCGCUACCAUCCUGGCGCCAACGCUGCAAAGAGAUGGAUUAGAGGCAGACUCUGCUGGUGUACUGAACUGCAACCCUGGGAGCUAAAUUCUAGAGUGCUUUGAUGAACUCCAGACUGCUGAGUAACAGCAUUAUGAAUGGUUCCUGUGCCCCAAGCAUAGCUGAAGCAAAUGGAUUCACAAAUCAAGGCAAUUUGGGGCAGACGACUUUGGAUUGCAGCAUAUUGUCAAAUAGAAGAUGAAUUUAAAGGUGACCACCAAAGGAAAUCACAGAUGCUUGUGUGAUUUUUGACUUCAUCGUGGAAUUUGAAAGGUUAGAAAGGUUUUGUUCUCAGAAAUGUGUUUUUAUUCUCCUUUAUUUUAGCUUUAGAAAUAUAAAGAAUGUCAUGUUGUCCUUCCUAGUUUUGCUGGACAACUAGAGAACAGGAGUAGGAGUUUUCUCAGCUCAUGAGUUCGAAGAAGGGACGGGUAUUGAGACUUCCACAAAGAAAUAUUUUCUACUACCUGUUUGUCAAGAAUUUUUCUAAUGUUUAAAGUGACAUUACCAAAAUUAAAAACAAGGACAAAAAAAUCUGCUCCAUUGAGUUUCUGCUCUGCACAGCAAAGAGAGAAAAGGUACCAGGGAGCCUGUUAUGGCUCCCCAUUUCUCAGGGUGGAUGUGUCUCAGCACCAGGGUAGGUAAGAGCAGCCUGGGGUCACUAAUUUAACAUCAGCUGUCAAGAGUGCCCAAAGGACUAUAUUCCAAGAGGGGAUAGUAGUAGCACAGUGCACUCCAGUCACACCCUAUCCUAACAGCUUCCUACCCCUUAUGCUCGGAUAGAGAGGCCAUCAACCACUCAGGAACUGGAUGUGCCAGGCAAGCACCACCUGAGAGCUCCCCUAUGCUGGGGGAAUUCUCAGCAGGCUAGAUCCAUUUGCUUUUUUCUUCCAGAGCAGCAUAAAAGGGCCAGAAUUCAUCAGAGAAUCUACCCCAAGAAGUUUUAAAUAGUCUGACUAAAAAUUCCUUGCCCCGCUAAAUUGUUCCGGUUUCAUUCUUUGUACAUGUGAUAUUACAAUCUUACUAGGAGUCCAGUGGUUCAUAUUGUCUUCCAGGAAAAACAGGGUAGGCAAGACCUGAAAUGUAAAUAUAAAAAGCUAUACAGAAAGAAAAACAUACAGCUUACCCUCAAUGCCCCCCAAAAAUAAUCCUCUACUUUUCAAGUUGAGUAAAGAAAGCAUGUAGAAGCAAUAAAUAAAUGGCAUACACUUUUUUCCUCUCUCGGUUACCUUUAAAGUGUACCUAUAAAAAACUUCUUUUAAUAUCUUCCUGCAGAGAUGCUAUCUAGUCCUCAGGGCCUCCUUUACGUAACACAUUAGUUUUCUUUAUGGCCUAUGUGGAAAACGGUGUUAGUAAAACUGACAUUUACAAUCUGAUACAUAUCAUUCCUACUUAAAGAGUUAAUGAGGUGUGUGGCAUAUUUAUCAACACAUUUGCAGCCAAAUGUUCAAAGCAGGAAAACAAGAAUGAAAUUUCAUGUCAUAGGUAACAUUUUUUAAUAUUACCCACAUCCUAAUCUCAUGGUCAAAUCCCCAAUUGAUUUCCUGAAUAAAAAGCAGAAGUACAAGUGAACAGUGUAGCAGGAUUUGAGCAGGCCUUGGGGAGGUGACCUGAAUUGUAUGGAAGAGUAUGAUGAAAUGCUUCUUUUUAACCAUGAAAGAAACUUUAGUACAUUGGCAUGUAGAAUAUACUUGGGAACAUCAAAUAUUUGGAGGUGUUUCAAUAUACUUAUUGUGAUGUGCUCCAAUAGUGUAUCAUCACAGAAAAGCCUAUAAACAAAUUAUUUUGACAUGAUCUUUUAAAAGGUCUCUGCAACAAACAAGAAGACAUUUUGGAAGGUAACUUUUGUGUACAUGGUCAAAUGGAGCCAUUGUUAAAGCAGGCAUUACCAAACCUUUUGCACAUAGAAUGUAAUGUUCUCAGUUUUAAGUGACUAUUGCUGUUGGGUUUGACCAGCUUACGUUUACAACAGCACUGUGUACACAUUUGUAUCAUGAGAAUAUAUUGCAUUACACUCUGUAUUGUACUAUUGAAAGAUACUACCAUCCUUGUAUUGCAUUAUUUGUGCAUCUUGCAAGCAUGCGAUGAAAGACACUGUGAUUCAAAACCUACUUGAACUUUUUCACAAAAAUAUACCACUGUGGUAUAAUAAAUGUGUCUCUGAAAUGAGUGACGCAUAAGACAUAAGUGUUCUAUAUUCUUAUAUCUGCCAAAAUCCAAUAAGCCAAUCACUCCUCAAACUAUAAUGAUUGGAUCCAAACAAGUGCAGCAA